CACUGCUCUAUUUCUACUGUGUCUUCACCAGCUUGUAACGGCUUCUUAUGAGGAAGACUGAAAUCAGGAUAAAACUUUUAUUAACACCAAUGAUGUACAGAUUCCACGCCUGUGUCGCCAUGCCCGCAAGGCAGCUUGGUGCCCUCUUGCAGCAGAAAUCAUUAUCAAGUUCAUCUAAAAGAUCAUAGAAUCCUGGCAUCAUGGAAGAGAGCCCCAGCCAGCUGUAAGAAACCUCAAAAAGUCAACUGGCUUAAAACAUUCAUUCUCAGAUAUCAGCUACAUCAACCAUUACUUCAGCACUUCUGUGACAUGAAGACUGAAGGACAUCUGAUAAAUCUCGCUAAAACACUGUUUUAAGCAUAUCACCUCAUCUGUACUAAAGAUUUUCCAUUAACAGAGGCUCACAAAGUAAUUUGACAACAUGUUUAGCAGCUAGAAACUUUUUAUUAGGAAACGGUCAGGAACUUUCCGGCUACUAGUCUCCUGAUUAACUAUUUUCUGCUGUAAUGGAAGUAGAAGUUUACACUCAAAAAUGACUGUUUACCAUUAAAUUACAUGUAGGGACUCCACUUUACAGAUCAUUUAUUCUACAUUCUGAGUUUUUAUAGAAAUACCAUGUGGCAAAUGCAGUUGAGGAGAUGAAAAACACUUGUUAAAUCGUGCUAUAUUUCUAUUCCAUAAUAUUUCCUAGGGCAUAGU